AUGUAACCCACAUAAAAAGAGCUGCAUCUAUAACUAAGCCGAAAUUUUAAAUUCCAAUUGGGAGCGUGCCCGUGAAGGCAUCGCGACGCGUCAUGGCGCGUGUCUGCACAUGCCUGUUGUGACCAAUCACAUUCGCGAGGCACCGAUAUAUGCCUUCCGGGUUGUCGUCUCGAAAAGAUGCGGGGGAGAGGCGUUAGCGGAUGGAAGCAACAGGUACGUAGGGCGAGCGCUUUUCGCUGUUUACUAUCUUGACUUGUUUUGAAUUAAUUGUGGAUUGCGUUCAACAGUAUUUUGAUACCGCCGUGGGUAGAUGCGUGGGGCUCGUAUGUGACAUCGCACGUAGUGAAUGUGCAGGCUAGUGGUGCCCUGGAGAGACCACAGCGACACCACUACUUUGGAUGGCGAGCUAGGCCCAACGAGCCAGAACCCCAGCUACAACUUCCUGCGGUCUGUGCAGGCUAGUGGUGCCCUGGAGAGACCACAGCGACACCACUACUUUGGAUGGCGAGCUAGGCCCAACG
ensembl:lncRNA